rnacentral:lncRNA from 1 species
ACAUGAUUAAUGUGACACAAUACAAUUAUGAAAACAAAUGGUCUAAUAUAUAACUAAACAAAUUACGAGUAAAAAAUAGGACGGACAUACACCUACGACAACUACUGAACUACCGACUUCUGAAUUGGGACAAGCACAUAAAGAAUGUGGCGGGGUUAAUAGUUAUCAAAGGUACCAGGCUUAUACCUUUAUUCGCCAGACGCGUGUUUCGUCUACAUAAUACUUAUCAGUGACGUACAAAGUUGAAAAGCAUUGAGGACCCG